CUGUGUAUGCAUCCUGUUAUCCCGUCGCAGUGUUGCAGGAGUUCUGCUAUUAUGACGAUCACUUCCAGCAAAAUCACGAGUUACAGUGAGGGACGAUCGGGCUGCUUUUCCAUGGACACCAUCUGUACUUGAAGGAAAGACUAAGGGACUCUGAUGUUCAUGCAUCAACUCAUUCAAACGGUUGGAGGAGCCCAGGAACGAUGCUGAGAACCCCAGAAGAUGAGUUUUCAGCAAGGGAUGCUGAGGCGUGAGCAGCUAAGAGAAGCAGACACAGAAAGAAGGUGGCCGUCUGCAAGCCACAGAGUCCUGUCAGCAGAUACUUUGAUCUAGGACUUCCCAGCCUCCAGAACUCGGAG